rnacentral:pre_miRNA from 1 species
UUAACUCAAAUUACGGAGUCGGAACUUUUGCCCACGUUUCCCGCUAGGGGCGUUAUUCCGACUGUAUACAAAUUUGAGUUA